UACGUAGGGUGCGAGCGUUUAAUCGGAAUUACUGGGCGUAAAGCGUGCGCAGGCGGUUCUGAAAGUCAGCUGUGAAAGCCCCGGGCUUAACCUGGGAACUGCGGUUGAAACUACAGGACUAGAAUCUGGCAGAGGGGGGUGGAAUUCCACGUGUAGCAGUGAAAUGCGUAGAGAUGUGGAGGAACACCGAUGGCGAAGGCAGCCCCCUGGGCUGAGAUUGACGCUCAGGCACGAAAGCGUGGGGAGCAAACAGG
rnacentral:rRNA from 1 species